AAAUUGGACACAGGGGGCAACCGUGAUCCAGCCAUGCCGCGUGUGUGAAGAAGGUNUUNNGAUUGNANAGCACUUUAAGUUGGNNNNNAGGGCUUUAGGAUAAUAACCGGAAGACUUGACGUUAUCAACAGAAGAAGCACCGGCUAACACUGUGCGCGCAGCCGCGGUAAUACAGAGGGUGCAAGCGUUACUCGGAAUUACGGGGCGUAAAGCGCGCGAAGGGGGUUAAGUAAGAUAGGUGAGAAAUCACCGGGCUUAACCUGGGAGCUACUUUCAUAACUGCUAAGCUAGAGUACGGUAGGGGGUAGUGAAAUUUCCUGUGUAGCGGUGAAAUGCGUAGAUAUAGGAAGGAACAACAGUGGCGAACGCGACUACCUGGACUGAUACUGACACUGAGGUGCGAAAGCGUGGGGAGAAAACA
rnacentral:rRNA from 1 species